rnacentral:tRNA from 1 species
UUUACCUUUAAUCUGCUGGGAAAGUAAGGAAGAAUUUGGCAGUUGGUCGUAAACUCGUAAUAACGAGUCUUGACAAAGCUGACGUCAUUACAGCAGGAAUGGAAGCCCUGGGUGAUUGUUUGGUGGCGCCAAAUCAAGUGUUAUUCUUGUGUGUUGGAAUUUCGAGUGACUUAUAUAUCUCGAGAUGAACGCUUACAACAGUUUCGUUUUGAACACCAAUACGUUAUCCCAGCAGUGAAGCGUCGAAUGUAAUCGUCGUUGGACACAACGUCUAUGCACCAGACUUUACGGUCUGCUUUUUUCACUAUUUCGAUUUUUGUGACCUUGGUCGUCAAACGAUCUAAAUCCGAUAACAAUUCAAUGUGACCUUUACAAAACUAGGAUCAAUAUCUAUUAGAAUCAUGCUUCCUCACUGAAGAUAAUCUGCAAUCCACCAAUGCAACAUACAAUUCCACGUUUCAAAUAAUGGAUGGCAGCUGCAUUGUCUUUCCCGUUUCUUCAAGAAAAGCAUGUUUUCAGUCCUUUCGCGGUUUUAUGCUGAUGCCUUUUCGUCAAAGAUGACCAGAUAGAUGUCAUUAGACAGAUCACAAAGAGAAAUCGAUCACUAAUUCAUCGACAAAGCGGCACCAUCGCUAUUAAGACUAUACAACCCCUGUUGUUUCUCUCUUGGGGUCAAUUUCGAGAUAAGGAUUUGACAGAUACUUGCUCGACUAAAGGUGCGGUAUUAAAAAGGACGAUUUUUCCCCAGCAUAUAUGGUGCCAUAACCUUCGCCUCAAUGUUCUCACAUUCGUGUGAUGAAAGCUGAUCCGUUCUAGCCGAUAAGAGCACGGGCUCUAUUCGUUCAGCGGCAUAUAAGUAAAAGGGAGCAAUUUACUCGAGCGUCCAUAUCUAAAUAAACAAAUGGGUGAUUUAUACUACCACACGUCUCGUGUCCGGUGUCCAAACAAGGGCUUGUGUAAAUGCUGAAUAUGAGAAAACGAUUGCAUCGUGUCCUUUACAUGCUCUCCGGUUCAGCCGACUCGAAAGAAGGAUGCAACGGUGACGCAAUUUAUCGGAAGGAGCUGCUGCUACUUUAAUGCUGGUUCUACCGAGGGUUGAACUCGGAUCGCAGGAUUCAAAGUCCUGAGUGCUAACCAUUACACCAUAGAACCGUACAAUAAAGUUCUUUCCAGCUGAUCUGAUACCCGAAGUUUUGGAGUGAAUGAACAAAUGGAAGUCAUUACGCCACACGUGGUUCUUGUGGGGUUCAGAUGAUCACCCAAAUUAAAUUGGACAGUGGGAAAAAAGCUAAAUAAAAAUUUUAGGUUCUACCGAGGGUUGAACUCGGAUCGCAGGAUUCAAAGUCCUGAGUGCUAACCAUUACACCAUAGAACCUUGAACAAAAUGUCUUCUCUAGUCAUGAGCCACUGGGAAAAUGCAAGCACUUACGAAGAAAGCCGCAGAAUCAUCAUUGCCUAAGUCCAGCUUAUAACCUACAACGGAUUCCCGUCUUUACUGCCGGGGGAAGAGUUGGCUGAACACCUGAAAUUGAGGCCACUUAAGCUAUACAACAAGGAAUCUGUCGCUAGAGUUUCUAACGAGUUUUCCACGGCCGCUUACCGUUCUGGUCACAGCACGCUACAGAUGUUGUAAAGAAAAAGAGUGAAAACAACUAUUCAACCAUAGUGAAGCAAGAUUUGAUGGAGCGCAGAGGUGCAGUGUUGAUAGCGCACAGUUGGUCAAAACUUCAACCCGUUUGCUUUGUGAUGUUCGGCAAACAAAACGCUGUUGAAUGUGGUUAACAAUCUUUUCGUUCUAACUAAAGAAAUCAAAGCACGGCUUCGAGUUGUUUGCCAUAAAUGUGCAGAGAGGGACGGAUUAUGGACUUGUUCCCUAUUAUCGGCGGCAAGAACCCCACUACAAUCUCUUCUGUAAUAAAUUUGCGUAAUCUGAAGAAGGAAAAGAGGCCAACUUCGUUCUCUGUCCCCAACGUUUUGCAUAUUCUCGUGCACUAGGGACAUCAAGGACAUAGAUCUGCGCUUCAGAAUUGUGAAACUCUGUAUCGUGUGAGACUCUUGGACCUGUGGACAAUAAUAUUGCUGUCGAUCAACAUAUGUGCCUGGAAUGGCGAUGGUUUCUGUCAUGAAACAACCCUUACUAAGAUUGGUUUCACUUCCGGUGAGUUUCAGGUCAGGUCGGCUCAACAAGUAAUUCGUUACAUUAAUUGUGAUCUACAUUUCAAACAAGUAAAACCAGAUACGAAACAAAAGUCUUUUGAGAGUUCUAUACGAAAAGGGUGAUGCUAUGGGCGCAAUCCAUGGAGAUUCCAGGUGAAGGUAAUCCAAUGAAAAGCUUCACUGGCAAUGGCACCCAACGGAAUUGAUCAUAGAGACCUUGCAUUGGCUAGCCACGCCAAUUAUAAUUUGUUUCCUGUACUUGACUUUAAUAUUUUUAAGGAUUUUGGUACAGUGGUGUUCAAGGAAUUAGAUCAUUGUUUUUCCAGGGAAACGGCAAAUUAUUUUUAUGUAUUUACAAAUCUCAGUGUAGUAACCGACAUGCAUACUGUUUUGCAUCAUCAAAUGUCAACUAUAAACAACUUAAGCAGGCUUUACACAUA